UCAUAAAUAUCCUUAGUCUUGUAUGUGGCACCGAUGAACCAAGAUUUCACUCCACUUAAAAGGCGCUGAUCGGCUUGAGCAACAAUACCAGUCAAAGUAGCAAAAUUAACCAUGAAUCCCUCCUUUACAAAAAAUUGCCAAGGAUCGCAAACCUGAGUAACAUCGUACCCAGUGUCUGGUAAUACAAUACACAUCUUAAGCGUUCUAUGCUUUCUACCCGAUCUACCAACUGGAGUAGGCACCCACAAGGGAUUGCUAAAGGGCUGCAACAUGGAACCAUCACUAUUAACUUCACGAACAAUGGGCAUAGACAUGAUGAUAGAUAAUUUUUAAUAGUUUGUGAGUAAAA